ensembl:misc_RNA Metazoa_SRP Metazoan signal recognition particle RNA
GUUGGGCGUGGUGGCGCACGCCUGUAAUCCCAGCACUGUGGGAGGCCGAGGCGGGCGGAUCACCUGAGCUCAGGAGUUCCAGACCAGCCUGGGCAACAUGGUGACACCCUGUCUCUA